rnacentral:rRNA from 1 species
GACGAAGGGGGCAAGCGUUGUUCGGAAUUACUGGGCGUAAAGGGCGCGUAGGCGGUUCUUUAGGUCAGGCGUGAAAGCCCUGGGCUCAACCUGGGAGUGGCGCUUGAUACUGGAGGACUAGAGAGUGGGAGAGGUUGGUGGAAUUCCCAGUGUAGAGGUGAAAUUCGUAGAUAUUGGGAAGAACACCGGUGGCGAAGGCGGCCAACUGGACCAUUUCUGACGCUGAGGCGCGAAAGCGUGGGGAGCAAACAGG